AAUUGAUGUUCAAGAAUUGAUCCAAAUUUAAAGGAUAAGAAAGUUUACAUUUUCUUAUAGGGCUCAGACCAAAAUAAAGUCUGAUUAGGUUUGCUGUUGGGUUGUUUGUAAUAUAAAAACAACCAUAAUCGUCGAGGAGUGAGUCAUUCUCUCAUGGGUAUUUGUUUGCCUAAUAGUAGGAUUCCAAUUGCUUUUGGAUUUGUAGAUGCACCUUACAUACUCCCAUCACGCAGUAACAUAUCAAUAUCAGAUACUGCAUCUGGCCGGGUUUAUAUUAUGCAUUCCUACUGCAUCAUGGUGACUCCAUAAAAUUUGAGCGACAUGAAACUAAAAAUUAGAUGCUGCAAGAGUCACAACAUUCAGGAAAACAUAACAAAUCAGAGAAUAGCACUGAUUUGGAUUCAUCAUGGUUUAUCUAAGGAGAUGCUGCAACAGACAUGUUGUCUUCUGCUUGUACCUUUGGAUUCAUCAUGGUUUAUCUAAGCAGAGAUAUCAUUACAUUGAUUUACGCCACUCAGACCACCUGAGCACCGAGUAGGUGAAAUAGAAAAUUACUUCAGCCGGUAAUUUGGUAUUUACCUACAUUCAAGGAGACCAUGUAGCGUGUAAUCAAUUCCAGUGCGGAAGAAGAAUAGGACAUCUUAUUUUGUAACAAUAAAAAACCUUAUUUUGUUUCUCUCCCCCUACAAGAAGCUUUUCCGCCUCAUACAUGCCCGCCGCCAGCAGGUAGCAGAUUCGGGUACCAAUUUGAUGAUGUGCUCAUAACUGAUCUUGCUUGGACAGAACAAGAAACUUAGGGUUCUCGAAGUAAUGAGUUUGCUGCUGCUUCAAGGUUGGAAGAAACAUUCAACUUCUACCAUACUACCAGUCCUGAUGUAGCUAAGCUUUUCCACAUUGACCCUGUAGCCAAGUGCACCUCUGUAGUCUUGCUGAAGAAAUAGGAGGAGAAGUUGAAUGUAUAAGGUGUCGUGGCCGGAGGCCACAUGGACCCCACCUCCACCGCAGGGGCGACGUGUAUUUCCUCUUGCUUCACCGCCUUAUAGCCAAGCAAACCAGGAGUGACCUCCUCUCCUACUACACCAGCGGCCUUCACUGGCUCUGGAGACAUGGUGGCCAUUGACACUCCGACGCUGAUGAGUAAUCAGUUCCAUCAUUGACAUAUAACCUGAAAAGUUGUUGGGCAGGAUGGGUUCCGUUGGCGUUGUGGUCCAGACACAAUAAUUCUUUGAAGCAGCGCUGUAGUGGAAUGAUGUAAAAAAAGUGUGAUGUGCCACAGUUUUGAUGAAAUGAUUUCUAGCUACUAUGAGGAACGAAGCUUAAUCGGUGACUGCACUCUUUUUAACCAAGCUUCAGUCUAAGGACCACCACCCCUUCCAGGAUGUUUCUAUCCGGCAUGAAAGCAGUUUGGGAAUGCCGCACCACAGAAUGUGCAAUCUGUGUGAGCUGAUUCGUCCCAACCUUGGUAAAUUUUUUGAAACUAACAAGGUUUUAUUUUCAAGUUUGACGUCUAAUUGCUCCCUUCUUCUUGAUGCAUAAUUUUCAGCAAUCAAGGUUGGUUGCUACCUUACCCUGUCCUCGCAUAGUUAAGAGAAAUCCAAUUUAAGGUUUUAUAAUUAAAUACAACGCCAAGAAGCACUACCGCGGGCAUCAUGUGUGCUUGAAACAAAUCUUCUCUUUUUCUAAAAGAGUGGUAUCAAUUUGUUCGGAAUUAGAAUAUUCCUCUUUUUGAAACACUCACAUGUCUUUUGAUUAUUCUAACCUGGGACUAAGUACAGUUGGAUGCAAGCUUGAUAUGUAAGUACGUUUUAGUUUAAUUAUUAGUCCUUGACCAUGAGCAAGAAUCUAGCUAGAUGGGCUUUCAUGUUACACAUAUAUGCUUGUUACUGUUUUGCGAGCUAAUGUCUAUUAAUUAAUUAGUUAGAUGCUUGAAUUAACCUGUAAUUUGCUAACUAUUAUUGGUUAUCACCAUCCAUCGUCUUCGUUUGGUUGUAAGUUGUUGACCAUUAGCAAGAAGCUAGCUAAUUGUGUGUGCAUGCCACACACGUGCACAUAUAUCAGUUGUUGCGAGUUAAGAUCAUCUGCCAACUACCUUUAUAUGUAAUUGUGUGUUGUAUUCUCACUGCUUCCAGUAGAUAGUAUCAUUUCAGAAUUCACCUAAAAUUUGCAAAGUUCAAAUUUUUGGGAUCAAAAUACAACUUUUUUUAAAGUUAAGCCAAUAUAAAGUGUGUGCAGGUUGACUUUUAAAACAUUUUUGCUUACAAGAAGCUUAUCAGUUGUAAUGUUUAGCACCUACAUAACCUGAUGGUCUUGUAGUGACUUGGGAUUGGCGAUUAAAGAAACAUGGGUAUCGAGCAUAUUAAUGUGAGAAGUAGAUAUACAAUAUGUUAUAAAGGAGAAGACAAGUAAAUAUUGAGUGUGAAAGAUAAGUAUGAUUUUUUACUAUAAUAUGAAUUAUUGAAUUUAAUCUGAUAUUCAACCCCUCAAAAUUAGAUUUAAUACGUGCUACUACACCAUUACUUAUCUCUACUAUUAAAGGAGAAUUUGACAAGUAAUCAGGCAAGUCAGCACUAUCGUCGAUGGAAGUCGUCGUGCGGAGAUGGAAGUUGACAAGUAAGUUUCUCCAUGAAGUUGAUCUGAUGUGAAGCUUGUGCCAGAUAAAAGUGGGGAUGCAGAUUGGGCAUCAAGUGUACGACAGAGGAUGACAAACGAUUACGUUCUUCAUGACCAACCAAGGAAGCGAAGCAAAUCACAACCCUUUAGUUCAUGGUCUAGGAGCAGUUAAUUAUCCGCUUUCAAGUAUUUGUUGCCGAAGUGAGCAUCUAAUUGCAGGAAUUCUGUGAGGGCUUCUCUACACUGGUACGGUCUCUCACUGGUACACGAUUUGAGGCAUAGGAGGGAGGGGCACAUUGCGAUGUUGUCUUUGGUCACGGCUAUAGCUUAUGAGAAGAAUGGGAUUUAUGCUUUGGCAGACUGCCCCGUGGUUAGCAAGUCAUUAUUGCCGCCUCCGCUUCCCAAGUUGCAUCGGCUUGCUGUUGGUGUGUGCUGCUUCUGCAGCUCCUGUCGGCCGCCUCUUAGGUUGGGUUUUGCUGCCACUACUAAAGUUUCCAUUGCCAAGGCAAGGUGUCGUCGUCUUGCUUGCAAGGCACACAUUGCACCGCGGGCAACAUUUUGGUAUGCAUGGCCACUCAUGUCAAAGCUGGGUUCCAGUUUGACGACCUCUCUACCAAGUCUCCAUGUUCUUCUUCCCUGUACUUUCUCCAUCUGCUGUUAUACUCUCUUGCAAGUAUGGCUUAUCUAGUUUGAUGUCAUGUUGCUUUGGCAGUUGUGUAUUAACCCCUCAAGGAGAAGAGGGGGGAGAUGGAAGUUGUAGGCGCGUGCCCCCGUCCGACCGUCGUUAGACCAGGAUGAGCUAGCGGCGGUGGUCGUCGAGGACUCUAAUCAUCCGCGGAUUGUCGUGGCGUAGUGGUGCCACCGAGGGCACCAACAUCAGCAGUAGAUGCAACAACGGCGGAGGCGGUAAGAGACAUAGGCCAAGGAUAGGGAUAGAGCAACUCAGCCGCAAUAAUUUUUUACUAAUUAUGAGAUGUUUCUUAUUUAUUCUUGAUAUGAUCUACUCCCUACAUUUCAUAAUGUAGUGCUCUUGAGAGGUGGAGCAUUAAAGAGCAAAUCAACUGGGCCCAGGCCUUCAUGGCUUCGUCCCCUACUUUCUACUGAUCCAUGCCAACUGCAUAGUUAUUUACUUUGGAAAUGCCUAGAUAUAUUUCACAUUUAACAGAAAAGCUCACACUGCAAUUGUCUGUACGAAGUUAUGUUUUGUUUUCAUUAUUUGUUUAUGUAACUCAGUUUUGGACUUGCAAGGCACACAUUGUACCGCGGGCAACAUUUUGGUAUGCAUGGCCACUCAUGUCAAAGCUGGGUUCCAGUUUGACGACCUCUCUACCAAGUCUCCAUGUUCUUCUUCCCUGUACUUUCUCCAUCUGCUGUUAUACUCUCUUGCAAGUAUGGCUUAUCUAGUUUGAUGUCAUGUUGCUUUGGCAGUUGUGUAUUAACCCCUCAAGGAGAAGAGGGGGGAGAUGGAAGUUGUAGGCGCGUGCCCCCGUCCGACCGUCGUUAGACCAGGAUGAGCUAGCGGCGGUGGUCGUCGAGGACUCUAAUCAUCCGCGGAUUGUCGUGGCGUAGUGGUGCCACCGAGGGCACCAACAUCAGCAGUAGAUGCAACAACGGCGGAGGCGGUAAGAGACAUAGGCCAAGGAUAGGGAUAGAGCAACUCAGCCGCAAUAAUUUUUUACUAAUUAUGAGAUGUUUCUUAUUUAUUCUUGAUAUGAUCUACUCCCUACAUUUCAUAAUGUAGUGCUCUUGAGAGGUGGAGCAUUAAAGAGCAAAUCAACUGGGCCCAGGCCUUCAUGGCUUCGUCCCCUACUUUCUACUGAUCCAUGCCAACUGCAUAGUUAUUUACUUUGGAAAUGCCUAGAUAUAUUUCACAUUUAACAGAAAAGCUCACACUGCAAUUGUCUGUACGAAGUUAUGUUUUGUUUUCAUUAUUUGUUUAUGUAACUCAGUUUUGGA